GAGAGAGAGAGAGAGAGAGAGAGAGAGAGAGAUUGGAACACAGCUCUAAACUAGAUGUCUCCAUCAAAUCUCUCUCCUCAGAGCUCAGAGAACCCCACAGAAUGAGCUGGGGAGAUAGAGGAUUCAGGACACCAGGGGAACAAGGCCUAAAACAACCGAGCAAAAAGCUCAUAUGAACUCACAGAGCCUAAAGCAGCUUACACGGGACCAACAAAGAUCUGCACGGGCUCUCUGAAGCAAGCAGUUGGGUAAUUUCAUGUAUGUGUGUGGCAUCCUUUGGACCAGAGGAAAAAACUAUCUCUGAGGCUGCUCAGAUGCUGCCUUCUCUGAUCCUCAUGGUGGGAAUUCACCCCCCGCACUCCCCUGCCAUCCUGUCCUCUGCAUCGUGGCCGCCCCAGCAGCAACCAUCUUUUUCCUUUCUCUACAGUGUUUGAAGCAGCUGUGUCCUUGAGAUCCCAGAUGUUUCCUGACUUCCAGGACUGAUCUUGUUGAUCUGUGUAUCUUCCAAGGCUCAAGAGAGAUUUUGAGAACUAAUUUCUUCAGAUGGUCCAUGUCUUUGUGAGUCAUUCUCCAAACAUGAUGUCACAGUCACCCAAGGGAUGAGAAGGGACACUUUUGCCAUGUCUACCGCUGUCAUCUCCCUGCAUAGCCACCAGAAACCGUCCCUUUCCUGGACUUCCAAUGAAUCUUAACACAACGAUUCAUUGUCCUAACUCAUGAUUUCUGAGUUGCUGGUGGUUUGAUGAGAUUAUUACCCCGUGUCUUCACUGCCUUGGGAUCCAUUUCAGCCUGACUGCAGCUUUGUUGCAUUUACCUUUCUAAGAAUGUCCUUGCCUGUGCUUUUAAAUCAAUACUUGUGUUCACAAGAAUCUAAUUCUUUCC